rnacentral:lncRNA from 1 species
ACUUAAUGGAAGUCUUUUUAAUGCAAUGGUGGCACCGAAUUUACCUCGUGGAGUGAAGAAAACAAGAUCAGCAACCUCUCCUUCAAAAUACAAGAAAAGCAAUGAAAUUCUCAUUUUGAAGAAUUUCACAAAAAUUACCAAGAUCCUUGUAAGUAAAAACUUCCAUGAAAAUUAUAAUUGAGCAUAGAUUGAGGCAUGUGAAUAGUCGAUCUUAGCUUAAAAAGGUGUUUUGAACACAAUUGUGAAGUUAGAUUUACAAAAAAAUGCUUUCUUGACCACUUACAAGAGCCAUCAGCCUUGGUAACGAGAUUGGCUCUUGGAUGAAUGAAGGCCAUAGAUUUAGUUUAGGGAUCUUAAAAAUCAAGGGUGGAGAUGUAGCCACCCUUCUACGAGCCUCCACUCAAUUGUAUAAGAGAGGCUUGGUUUUCCAAGCCCUCUCUCUCUCCUCUUUUGGAUGAAGGGUGGAGCCAUACCAAAAUUUGGCCAAAACCCUAAUCUUAAUUUUAUUCAGAUUUUAAUUCUCAUUGUGAACCUUGUGAUUGUAUAUGUAUGGAUUUUGCAUUGUGAAGGAUGGUCAUUAAGUUUUAAAAUAUGUUUCAUUGAGGUAGAUAUCUCCUCGGUCUUCCAAAUACCCCAAAGGUUUUAAGGGCCUCGGAUUUUCUUCAAUUUGUCACUCAAUUUCUAUUGUCUCAAUGUGAGAUUCUGAAUAGUUGUAGCUUUUGUUGUUAGCUUUCCAAAAAAGAUAAGAAUUUCUUGAUUUGGAGUAGGAAGAAAUUUUUGGUGAAUUUUUGAAUUUGAGGGAGUCGACUACCUUUGCAGUUUGAAUCAAUCAA